UACGAAGGGGGCUAGCGUUGUUCGGAGUUACUGGGCGUAAAGGGCGCGUAGGCGGUGUGUCAAGUCAGGCGUGAAAGCCCCGGGCUCAACCUGGGAACCGCGCUUGAGACUGGCACGCUAGAGUUCGGGAGAGGAUGGUGGAAUUCCCAGUGUAGAGGUGAAAUUCGUAGAUAUUGGGAAGAACACCGAUGGCGAAGGCAGCCAUCUGGACCGACACUGACGCUGAGGCGCGAAAGCGUGGGGAGCAAACAGG
rnacentral:rRNA from 1 species